UUAAUUGCUUUUAUAUGCCAUGGAUUAAAAAGAACUUAAUGCAUUGUCUUUAUUUAUUUUGAAGUUAAAGGGUUUAAAAGUGCUUUUUCUUCUUCUUGAAAUCAUUAUAUAAUUAACUAACUAAUUAAAAUCAUUGUCGUCCGAGUAUAAUACACUAACACAUGUAUUAUACUCGUACGACAUAUGUAUCGGUGAAGUGUUCAAUUAAAAAUUUAUGUUUUGGGUUCCUAACAAUUCUAGUAUGGUUCCAAUACAAUUUUGAAAAACACAAAUAUAAUGAUUUUUUUAAAAACUCAAACUUAUUGUAUAAGUUUUUAUUAUGAUUAUAGAAAUAAGGAACAAAUCCUUUUGAACCAGUCAUGAGAAACAUCUUUCUUGCAUAAACAAAAAACUUAGUCAUAAUGAUAUAAUAUAUAGAUCAACGUGUCCUACAUUUUGGAGAUUUCACGUAUCGAAGUGUUGUGUUGUAUCCGUUAUCUUUAUCAAUGUAUGUGCUACAUAGUUUGAGACCUAUACUACGAAUUGGUCCACUAAUUCAAUAGGAUUUAUGAUACAAGGAUGAGAAAGAAUAAAAAAAAAAAAAACGAAAAAAAGACAACAGAUAGAAUAAAAACAACCUUUAAGAUAAAAGAGAAUGCAAGAGCCAAGAAUACAAGAGCCAAGAAUACACACUCUGCUAUAUCCAAGUAUCGUGGGAUUUAUAAUAUCCCUUGCAAAGUCAUCUUUUCUUCUAAUAGAUAACUGUGCUGAAUAUACUGAAAAAUAAUAGAAAAUCCUAACAGAAAAUGUUCAAUCCAAUAUUUACAAAAGAAAAAAAAAAUCUUAUAAAUGUAGUCAUUUAACCAAGUAAAAAUAGAUACCCUUCUAAUGAAUCUUGUAAUUGUGCGUCCGGUAUCAAUUUAAGUGCCGCACAUAGUAUAAUAGUACAUGAACAAGUUCUUUAAAUUUGAUUCCCAUAAUAAUAGUAUAUGUACUAUUUCUUUAAAUUUGUUUCUCACUAUUUUUUUCUUAUGAUAAAAAAAUUAAUAAAAUUAACAUAAUCAUUAAAGAUGUUCUAACUUUUAUAAAAGAAAAAAAUAGGCUAGCCAUAACAAAAGGGAAUCCAUUCCUAAAUAAAUUGUAGUGUAACUACAGAUAACACAACAGCAGCAACCCAAAACAUCUGAUAAACACAUUUCAAGUAUUAAUCCAUAACACUCAACCGGGUGAAUAAAUGUGGGUUGAUAUUUGAAUAAGGUUCAAAUAAAAAUGAAUAUUAAAUUUCUGAAAACAAUUAAAAUGAAAAAGUCGACUGUAUUGGGCUCUAUAUCAAUCACAAGAUCUGAACAUACAUCAACAUUUAAUAAAUUAAAUUAAAAAAAAAAGACUAUAUACACAAACGUACAAGGCCACUUGGGCUAAAAGCAAAGAACCAAACAACUAAUUUAAAGCUCUAAUAAACAAGUAUAAGUAACGCAUAAAAAACAACCAACACCAAGACUACAAGACUACAGAAUUCCUACAGUGAAAAAAACUAAAAAAUUGGCAAAACCAGUGCCACAACAGCGCAUAAAAAACCAGAUGAAGCACCUACUGCUAAGUUGCAGAACCUGCAGAAAACACCUAGUCUUAUUGAGCUGAAUGCCUUCCCUAAUCAACACCAACACAGAACCAGAAAAAAGAAAAGCAGAAAUGGUGUAACAGCUUGAAAACGGUAGCAGCAGCUGCUACCAAAAAGCCCUUACGCCCAUGGAGAAAAGCCAGAAAACACCAUGGUUUUAGCUUCAAGCACUACUAAAACAGAGGAACCCACCAUCAUGCCUACAAUAGACUCCUAAACACCUGUUUUCGUGAACCAAGUGCAACUUAGAACUGCCAAUAGCCGAGAGCUGACACCACAGCCCACAAACCAGCUGCUAUCAACAAAAGAAGACAUGCAUGAACCCUCCAAAAGCUCCUAACAGACUGUUUCCUGAACCCUAUCUUACAGACCUUUCAUUGGUCACAAAGAAGGCAUUGACUAGGAUUCAUUUACCAAUCCGUUUUAACAAUAGUCAAGAAAGCAAUUGUGCGUAAUUGUUUUUUUAUACUUGAUAAAAGUAAGAUCCCAGAUCAGUUCUGCUUCUAAGACAGAAUGAUUCCUUCUCCUCCUCUUGCUAUUUUUUCAUAUUAUAUAUAUUUACAAUAGUAUUUGACAACCUCUAAUUCUAAUUUUAUAAUUAUUUAAAAAAAUAUUGAUAAGAAGUAAAGACAGAAACACAUAUUAGGAGAUGACAUACCUUCUCUUGCUUUAGUAUGAAAGCUGAAGAUGCUAUUAGUUUGUUGCCUUUUGCAACGAAGUUGCUGCUUUGAAGCCAGAAAAAGAAUACAUUUAUACUGCAAAAACUUGUUCAUAACCUAAGAAAUAAGGGUAUGCUGGAAAAUUUGCAAUAAAAUCAGUUUAGUGGAUGUGUGAAUCACUUAAUUGAAAAGACUUUACCAAACUGUUGUAUUAUUGUCUUCAUCUAAACAAUUGCUUUAUCAUACUACUUUAUAACACUUUCACUGUUUUUUUCUUACAUUUAAAUUACAAUUUUAUAAAUUCUUAUUUCGUGGAUAAAAAAUGUGGUCAAGGAAUACUUUUCCUUUUUAAAAUAUUGUGAAGCUUAUAUGGCCGAAGAUCCUUACAGAAAAAGGCAGAAAAUGGUUGGUACAGACACAUUUAGAAUAGAUUUGUCUGCAUUAACCAUAUUAUUAGCAAGAAAAAAUUAUUGUAGACAUUAUUAGUAUGCAUGAGAGAAGUUGGGGGCAAUUUGGAUUGGUAUUGUGAGUGGAAUUUGGAGACAUAGAAAUUCGGUGACCUUCGACACGGGUGUGGUAGAUGCGCUCGAGGUAUUUGUACUGGUACAGAUAAAUGUUUGGUCUUAGAUUUUUGUAAAGUACUGUUGUAAUUCCUUUACGUACCCCAACUGAGUUUUGAAUCCAGUAGAUUGUAUGAGGCUGGUUGUUUAAUGCUUUUUUUGAGUAGCUUUGAUUGUUCUUUAUUUAAGUUGGAAGGUAUUCCUUGGUUGAAGGUUAGUAAGGCACUAACUAUUUAUGUAUAAGGGUUGGAUCAUCCUGAAGUGAUUCCCAUUUAUUUAUUUUUUAUUGUUAAUAAAAGAAAAAAAAUAGACAACUUUUCAAUCCAAACCAUAUAAUGCAUCGCACCAAAAGCAUACUAAAAGAAAAGCCAUAAUUAUUUGUAACUUUUCUCCUUCUCCACAUAUUCUUUCCUUUUCCCUGACCCAACACAUCAAUAAUGCAUGACACGAUCAUGAAGUUCUUCAUUUCUUUUUCCACUUUCCAACAUUUCAUAUCACACUUAUUCGAAUAUUAAUGGUUCAAAUUUAAACUUUUUUUUAUUAAAUAAACUUAUCCAUGGGUGAGAUUCGAUGUGUUGUGAACGAAUAUAUACCAUUAUGUCAUGUCAUUAAUAGAUAACUAUUACUUAGUGAUAAUUAUUUAUAAAUUUGGAUCUCUAAAUAAACUAGAAUUUACGUUUAGAUUUUAAGUACGAAUUAUUAUAAGUAAAUAAAAUUAAGUUCUUUUAUAUUUUUCUUUAAGUAAUUUGAUAAAAGUAAUACGAAAAUAAAAUUUGUAUGUAGUUUUAGUGCAUUAAAACGAUAAUAUUUUUAAAGGAUAUUAUCCAUAGAUAAUAGUACUGGAUUAAUUGGUAAAUAAAAUUAUAGAUUACUUACUAUUUUACCUACAAAUUAUUAUAAUAUUAAUACCUAUAAUCAUAUUACUAUUAUUAAAAGUAAUACUAAUAAUAAUGUUAAUCAUAAUACUACUACUAUUAAUAAUAUUAAUAAUAUAUAUUAUUAAUAUUAAUGUUAAUAAUUUUAUUUAUAAUAUUAAUAAUAAUAACAAUAUUAACAUUAUUAUUAACAAUAAUAUUAUUAUUAAUAUUAUUAUUAUUAUUAUUAUUAAGAUUAUGAUUACUAAUUUUAUUUAAUGCUAUUUUUUUUCACUUAACGUAGUCUACACAACAUGUAAACCCAGCUGCUAAUUAAAAUGUAAAUACACUGAGAGAAAAAGACACUAUCCUCACAUGGCUAAUGUUAUUGUCACCUACAAGUACUUGGAAGUUAAUAACGUAACUGUUUAUUACUACUCAAAUUAUUAUGAUUUAAAUCAAGACAUUUGUAAAAGAAAUAGUAUAAUAUUGAUUCGGUGGUGAUUCUUAAAUUAGUUUUUUUUAUUAAUGUCACAGUAAUAAAUUUUAACUCCUUCUUUAUUUAAGAAAAUAAUUUAAAUAAAGUUGAGUUAAUCUUAUUUCAUUAAAUUUGGGUCAACCCAAAUUUUGAAAAUCAAUUAUUUACUAUUAUUAUUUUUUUUUACUAUUUUAAGGUAUUUUAGGAUUUUAGUUCAUUUACCUACACUUGUCAGAAAAAUUUUAAGUUUUAGUGAUGUUUCCUUAUAUCAAUUAGAGAUUUAUUAAAUCAUAAUACAUUCCACAUUAAAUCUUUCAUUUUCAAUUUAAGAAAAUUAUCAAAAUGAAUGUAUGAUUUGAAUGAAACCAAUGUAAAAGAGACACAAUUGUAUCAUUCAUGCAUGAUUCCAGUUUGUUAAAUUCAAAAUUAAGCAAAGUCAUAGAGACCAUACACGAAUUUUGUGUUAAAGUCAUGUCACUGUGAUACAACUUUCACGUGAACUCAAUCCUUAAUAGUUUUUUUUUCCUAAAUCCAUAAUUUAUAAUCUAAUUUGCACCCUUUCGAUAAAAAAAAAAAACUCUUUUAAUGCUAAAAUAUUGAAUCCAUGAUCAACAACUUUUGGAUAUCUUAACAUGCAACUUCCAUUUUAAAUUGGACCAACAAAGCCAAAACGUAGAAGAGCUUCUUCAUAACCAAAACAAUAAGGCGACAGAAGAUUGCCACACACAUUAAAACACUAAAAACAUUGAAACUCUUGUUUGCUUUAUGUAUCCAAUCAUGAGCAAGUCUUGUGCUGAGAUUGCAAUGUUUUGCAAUGUUUUAGGUGUUUUGAUGUUUAAGAGUAAAAUCAAACAUGGUAUAUGAACAUUGAAGCAUGCAAAUUCAUUUUUUUUAUAAACAAGAAACGAAUAAAUAAUGGAAAUAUUUUAGAAAUACCUUAACUCUUGUACAAACAGGAAAACCUAAAUUCCUUACAACAAACACUUGAAAUUAAGAUUUCAAACAGUAACAAACUAUUACAAACAUGACCCUAAGCCUUCUUAAAAGAAAACAAUGAAUAAAAAACCUAUUACAAAAUAAUCUGUAGGAGUGUACCAACAAUAUAAUUACUGCAUAAUCCUUAGCAGAACUUUAGGUCACUCAAGGUACAUAUUGGCAUAAACCUAGAUUAGAUAUGCCAUUAUAGCUUAGGUUUUGCAAACCAUUUAGUGAGAAUCCAAAUAACCAGGCGCAAGCAAAAAACAAAAGUCACGAGUACUAGCAGUGCCAUCCAAAUAAUAAUAAUAACAAUUCCAAACAUGGAGAUGGAUGUGGCCCAGACAGGAUCAGGGGUGACCAUUUUAACACCAUACAUGUAGGUAAGAGCAAGACUAGUGAUGGUAAUGCACAUACCUAUUGAUAAAAGCCAGGUGAAAAAUCUGUGGUUGAGAGGGAAUCCACUAACAAGCAAGAGACAAACAACUGAAGAUGAUAUGAAACAUGUAGUAUUCCAAAUAAGGAAGAAGGUAUAAUGCCCUGGCAUUCUAUAAGCUAGGAUAGAUUCUCCAGGACAUGGCCAGAUAUCGUCUGAACAAACCACUUUUCCUUCACUCUCUCUUGGCGGUCUAACACCACCAGGUGGGUUUAGAGCAUUUUGAAACGUCAUUGUUGUGAUUACAGUAGCCACCAAAGAAAGGUUACCUCUCAUAUCCUUCAACCAUUUAUCCUUAUCCUUGUGUGCCAGCCAAUUCCCUACAUUUUUCAGAGCUUUUCUCCACCCUUUUGACUCCUCUUUCUCCUCGCCUGCAACGUUCACCGUAAUUGAUGGAUCUCCCAUGCCUUCACCAAAUUAUAAAAACUAUUUAGAACUUUAAGUUGCAUGCAUGCAUGUAUUCAAAUAUGGAUUAUCAUAUUUCUUUUUUUAAUAACGUGAAACCAAAAAUCUCAUCAAUAAAAAUCUUUACACGACUUCACUUUAAAGUAAUAAAAAUCGUAUCGGCUUAACACCACUACUUCAACUUCACAUUAUAUUUUCAAUAGUAAAAAACGAACCAUUUUCACAAUGCAUCAAAAACCUUGUCUGUGGUUCAAAUGUAGAGUGAUUUGUCUUCUUUCAUGACACUUUAAAUUUAGGAUGAUUGUUUUUCAUGCAUAAAAAAAGAAGAAAGGUGAGAUGAAGCUAGCUAGAUAUAAAGUAGAGUAAAGAAGUAGAUGAAAGAUAAAAUAAAAUAUAGGAUUCAUUUGGUCUGACAUACCUUUGCUUGUUUUGGUAUGGUAGCUGGCAAAUCCAAGUGAAUGGUGAAGUUGAUUUUGAGGCCAUAUCUAUAUUUAUAGAUGGAAAGUUGUUGAUACAUAGAAAAAGAGGAUUAUUUUCUAAUUGUGGUAAAAUCCAUUAUUAAGUUUCUCUUAUUAUGGCAAGUUGCGACUUAAGAGUGAUGUAAUGUAAUAGACUAGUGUUCCUUAUAUACCCUACCAUUUAAUAUGUUAUUUCCCCUUAUAGAAAAAGGUAAGAUAAGGAUUUUUUUUUUAAAUAUAUUCAUCACGUGUUUGAUGGUUUGAAUAUAUUUAUGGAAAAAGAUAUUUUCACAAUAGUUUUACCUUAAACACACCUGGCAACACUUUUUCUAAUGAUAAAAUAUUAAAUUAAAUUAUUUAAUAAAAAAUUGUUGUAUAUUGUCAAUCUUUAUAUUUAUUGAAAAGUGGCCUUGGAAUAGAGUGCUUUUUUAUAUUGCCUUAACAAUUGCUUUUAUAUAACACCAGAAAGCAUACCCAUUGUAAAUAAAGUUGAGGAGCCACAGAAUAAAAACCACAAUUAGUGGUGGAAGAAUAUGUUCUCCUCCGGGAGCAUAAAGAGUCUCUUAUAAGAAAGAACCAAGAAAAAGAUAUGAAAUAAGCUCGUGAUUGUUCUUGAUUGUGAACUUGGGAGACUAAAAAAUAAAUAUAAUCAGUGAAAUGAAGAGCAAAAAAGUUGAAUGAAGUAGUUGGAGAAUCAAGAAUACAUAAUAGUCUUUUUCAUAUCCAACCAACUUGGAAGGCUUUGCAACCUUUAACUCCAAGCAAAGCUCGAAAGCCGUAUAAAUAUUCCAAACCACAAAGUACCCUCACCAAGCCAUUAUAGGGUGGACAGAUAAAAGGUUUGAAAUUUUAGGUCUAAAUUACUGAUUGCUAUAUAUCUUGUUAUUGUUAAAUUUAAGCUUACAAGAGGGAGUGUGAUUCGUUAGUUCCGUUUCUGUUUUUUUUUUGUUGUUGUGAAGGUUUGUAUGGGUUAGUAAGACAAGUGAUCAAAACAAUUUGCUUAAAGGUGUGUAGGUGGGUAGGAUGGAGGUUGAAGCUUGUGUUUUACAAUUUGCAGAUGACACUCUUUUUUAUGCGAAGAAUCCUUCUCAAAUGUCAUCAGCAUGAAAGUUAUCCUCAGGUAUUAUGAGCUCGCUUAUGGGAUGAAGAUAAAUUUCCACAAAUCUAAGCUGACAGGUAUUAAUGUCGAAAGCGCUUCUCUUGGUGUUUAUGCAAAAUCCCUACAUUGUAAUGUGAUGAGGUUACCCUUAAAGUAUCUGGGGCUAGAAGUGGAUGGUAAGCCGAGGAAUAAGCCUUUCUGAGAGCUUAUUCUGAAUAAAAUAAGUGUUAAACUAAGUGCAUGGAAGGAGAGAUUUUUAUCUCUGACAGAAAGAAUAUGUUUGGUUAAGUCGGUCUUCAUGUCAAUGGAGUAACUAAUUUUCGUUUUAUGCUUAUUGUUAAAUUCUUUCUGAUUAAUGGAGUCUUGAUUUUGAUCCUUAAAUUUAAUUGAAAAGUAUCUUUAAGGAUUUGAAAUAGAUGAAAAUAUUUCAUAACUUGUAAUGCUAGCAAUAGAUUUUAGGUUAUUAAUUGUAUCAUAAUUCUGUUCAUAAAGCUUGAUGAUUUGUUAAAUAUAUGAGGAAUCAGUGUUUGAGAAAUUUUCUAAUGAAUUUCAUCUGAGGAAUCAAGGUGAAUGACCUCAAAUUACAACUUGUUCCAACCAAGAUAAAUUAUUACCUUCUAAUUAAAGAACUUAGUAUUUUCUGUUUUGUCUUACUUUUCUUAAGGUUAAUCACAUCCCUCAUUCCUGUCUCAUUUUAUUAAUUAUUUUCUUAAUUUAAGAAUUAUUUGAUUUUGACUACAUGUACUAAAAUUUAUUAAAUUCUCCUUAAUAUUUCUUCUAAGUGAUGUAUUUAUUUCAUCUUGAUUGUGAAUAAAUCUAUACAAGAUCAAUAUUAUUUGCUAAUAUUCGUGUCUUAAUAUUCAUAGUUAGUCUUGGAUGACAAGUCUUAAGGGAUGAUACUUGUUUGUAUCACUGCACAACUCCUCAUGAACAAUAAGACUUGUUCAAGGUAGGUUAAAAUCCUAACUGCACUACAAGAAAUCAUCAAAUAAAAAAAAAUCAUUAAAUAAAAGCUAAUGUUAAAGUCAAAAAAUAAUUAGUUACUAUGUUGAUUAAAAAAUUAGAUAUUAUUUUAUAGACUAAAAAAAAUUAUCGGAAUCUAAAAUAAUUUCUCUUAUUAAUAAAAAAAUAUACAUUAGUUUCUAUUAUCACUACAUAGUCCCUUGGCCUUGAGUAUAUUAGUGAAGAAAAACAUUUUAUUAUAGUUCUACAAUAUUUUUUAUAACGAUUUUGAUGAUGAACAGAUUUAGGCGGUAUAAAAACUCUUGUAGUUUCUAUGUCAGUUGAAAAACUGUCUUAGUAAGUUUACUUACUAUGACUAUUGUAUAUAAACUAUUAUAAAUAUACAAAAUAUUUAUCAGUGUGUUCAAAUGAAAAUUUCUAUGACUAGUAUUUUCAUAACAAUCAUAUAAAAUAUAACUUAUUAUGAUAUUCAACAUUGCAAUUGUCAUAAGUCACUUUUUAUGACAAAUAUUUUUAGAACUAUAAUAAAAAAUAGAGUUAUUAUGAUAGGUAGAAUCACAAUAGUCAUAAUAAGUUAUUUUUAAAAAAUAUUGUUUAGCUUUAUCUAGUUUCCUCCAUUCAUUAAUAGUAUUAGCAACCUACAUAUAAUAAUAUAUAAUUUUCAUAUAAACCAAUUCUUGGAUAAUUAUUCGUUAUCCAAUAAACAUUGUAAAAAAAGGAUAAAUAUAAAAUUCAUAUAUUUAAAUAAACUAAAUAAUUUUGCAACCUUACAAAAACUAUAUUUUUAUCUUUCAUUAAAGAUGAAUAGUUAAAUAAAUAAAUAAAAUGACUUUUAAUACUCUUAUAGCAAAAAAAUCCAAAUUCCUCUUAGCAUCAUUCGUGCUUAGUCCCCUGUACUCCUUUUAAUACCAUGUCGUUUUAUUUGAUUAAAAUUUAUUCAAAGAACUUAUAUCUUUGAAUAAGCAUUCUGCAACAUUCAAAGAACUUAUAUCUAUUUGCCAAAUUUUAAUCAAUAAGCAUUCUGAUGUCCAAUCCAACACACCAAGAACAAUGAGAUAGCACAUGCAAACAUAACAUAACUACCUAUAUGCAUCCUUCUAGAAGAAAGAAAAUAAAACAUUUUGGAAAUAGAGCACAAACACAUUCAAUGCAAUUUCGACCAAAAUUACAGCUUACACUGAAGAUGAGUACAUUUUAUUUCUACCCUCUCCUAAUUCUUCUAUACCGCACAAUCCAAGCAUUAAGUUAAUCUUCAAGUUUUCAACUUUGAAACUUCCCAUCUACUACUCUUAACUUUGCAGUUUUUCUGGUUCGCCAUCCUCUAUCCAUUCAUUCAUUCAUUUAUCUUAUAAGAUUUCUUAGGUAAGAACAUUUGUUCCCGAUCACUCUUUGAAAAAUUUAGAUUAAUUAUGACAAAUUAAUCUAAUUUUAUGUUAAAAUCAUGUCAAUGUGAUACAAUUUUCACGUGAACUCAAUGUGAAAGUGAAGUCGUAUGAAUGUCACUAAAGUUCUUCAUGUAAAUUUGUUCAACUUGUAAUACUUAUUUUUGUCCAAAUUCACAAUUUAUGAUCUAAAUUGCACCACUUUGAUGCACAAAAAAACCCUUUUUAUGCUAUUGAAUCCAUGAUCAACAACUUUUGGAUAUCUUAACACGCAACUUCCAUUUUUAAUUCGACUAGCAAAGCCACAAUGCAGAAGAGCUUCUUCAUAACCAAAACAAUAAGGCGACAGAAGAUUGCCACACAUUAAAACACUAAAAAUAGUGGAACUCUUGUUUGCUUUAUGUAUCCAAUAAAGAGCAAGUCUUGUGUUGAGGUUGCAAUGAAACAUGAUAUAUGAACAUUGAAGCAUGCAAAAAGCAAAUAAUAGAAAUAUUUCAGAGAUACCUCUUAUAUAAUCAGGACAACUUAAAUUCUUUACAAGUACAACCACAUUGAAUCGAAUCCGAGUUCAAGCUGGACCACACUAUCACAAACACUAAGACUUCUUACACAAAGAAAACAAUAAACAGAAAACCUAUUACAAAACCAUCACCAGAAGUUUACCAACAAUAUAAUUACUGCAUAAUGUCCUUAGUAGGACUUUAGGUCUCUGAAGGUACAUAUUGCCCCAAUAGAUUGGAUAUGCCAUUAUUUCUCAGGUUUGGCAAACCAUUUAGUGAGAAUCCAAAUAAACAAGCGCAAGCAAAGAACAGAAGCGACGAGUACUAACAGUGCUAUCCAAAUUAUAAAAACAAUUCCAAACAUGGAGGUGGAAGUUGUCCAAAUAGGAUCAGGGGUGACCAUUUCAGCACCAUACUUGUAGGUAAGAGUAAGACUAGUGAUGGUGAUGCACAUGCCUAUUGACAAAAGCCAGGUGAAAAAUCUGUGCUCGAGAGGGAAUCCACUAACAAGCAAAAGACAAACAGCUGAAGAUGAUAUGAAACAUGUAGUGUUCCAAAUAAGGAAGUCGGUAUAAUCCUUUGACUGUGUAUAACCUAGGAUAGACUCUCCAGGACAUGGCCAGAGAUCGUCUGAACAACCCACUAUUCCUUGACUCUCUUUUGGCGGUCUAACACCACCAGGUGGGUUUAGAGCACUUUGAAAGGUCAUUGUUGCGAUUACAGUAGCCACCAAAGAAAGGUUACCUCUCAUGUCCUUCAACCAUUUAUCCUUAUCCUUAUGUGUCAUCCAAUUCCCUACAUUUUUCAGAGCUUUUCUCCACCCUUUUGACUCCUCUUUCUCCUCGUCUGAAAGGUUCACCAUAAUUGAUGGAUCUGCCAUGCCUUCACCAAAUUAUAACAACUAUUUACAACUGUAAGUUGCAUGCAUGUAUGCAUAUAUGGAUUAUCAUAUUUCUUUUUGUAAUAACGUGAAACCAAAAUCUCAUCACUUUAAAGUAAUAAAAAUCUUUACACCACUUCAACUCCACAUUAUAUUUUCAAUAGUAAAAAACGAUUCCAUUUUGAUAAUGCAUCAAAAACCUUGUUUGUAGGUUCAAAUGUAGAGUGAUUUGUCUUCUUUCAUGACAGUUUAAAUUUAUGAUGAUUUUUUUUCAUUCUUAAAAAAAGAAGAAAGGUGAGAUGAAGCUAGCUAGAUAUAAAGUAGAGUAAAGAAGUAGAUGAAUGAUAAAAUAAAAUAUAGGAUUCAUUGGUCUGACAUACCUUUGUUUGUUUUGGUAUUGGAGCUCGCAAAACCAAGUGAAUGGUGAACUUGCUUUUGAGGCCAUAUCUAUAUUUAUAGAUGGAAAGUUGUUGAUACAUAAAAAAGAGGAUUAUUUUCUAAUUGUGGUAAAAUCCACUAUUAAGUUUUUCUUAUUAGGGCAAGUCGCGACUUAAGAGUGAUAUAAUGUAAUAAGUUAUAAAAAGGUAAGAUGGAUUUUUUUUAUAUAUUCAUCAAGAAAAUCAUCAUUCUAAAUAAUUUUAAAGAACAAAAUAAACAAUUUUAAAACUAAACAAAUUAUUAGUAAUAUAAACUAGUUUCUAUUAUUAAUAAAUAAUAAAAUUUUAUAAAGUGGUUUUUAAUUAUUACUUACCAAAGAUUUUAGUUACUAAUAUUUUAAUUCUAAAUUAGUUUAUAAAAACUAAUUAAAAUUAAUUUAAAAUUUAAAAUAUUAGUAACUAAAAUCUUAGUAACUAAAAUCUUAGUAGCUAAUUUAAAUACUAAUUUAAAAGUUAUUUUUAUAAUUUUUUAUUAAUAAUAAAAAUCACACAAAUAAAUAUAUUUAUAGAAGCAAAGUUGUUCAUACAUAAAAAAAAUAUAGUAUUAUUUUCUAAUUGUGGUAAAAUUCACUAUUAAAUUUGUCUUACCCUAUCAUUUAAUAUGUUAUUUCUCUUAUAUCUGUUUGACAACUAUAUAUAAUAAUGAAAUAUUAAUUAAGUUAUUUAAUUAAAAUAUAAAUUAAAUUAUUGAAUAAAAAUUUAAUAAAAAUAAUUUUUAGAUGAAAAUAUAAAUUUUGAAAAGUGUCAAAGUAUUAUCUCCAUUUUCUUAUUAUAAGAAAAGGUAAGUUCAGUUUUUUUUUUACAAAUUCAUCACAUGUUUGAUGGUUUGAAUAUAUUUAUGGAAAAAGAUAUUUUACCUUAAACGCACUUGACAACUUUUUUAAAUAAUAAAAUAUUAAAUUCAAUUAUUUAAUAAAAAAUGGUUAUAUAUUGUCAAUCUUUAUAUUUAUUAAAAAGUGGCCUUGGAAUAGAGUGUUUUUUAGAUUGCCUAAACAAUUAAUUUAUAUUAUAUAUAAAAAUUAAUAGAGAAAUAUACUAUAUAAUUUAUUUAUAUAACAUUAUAAGGGGUGUGAAAUUAAUGUGAAGGGGGAGCUCAGUAAAGAAAUCAUGUCUACAAAACGACUAAUCUGACUAAUUAAUCAAAAUACUGAAAACUAAAAAGCUUUGCAAAAUUCUUUUUUUUUUCUCGUUUGAAAUGAAUAAUUUAUCAUCAUCAUCAAUUUUUUCCACUUUAUUUUUCAAAAUCCAUCUUUUUUACCAAAAAAAAACUUCCAUUCUUUUUUCUUUUGCAAUCUUUCUGAAGCAUGUAAAAUAUUCAUUGCUUGAAUUUUUUUUAACUUUCACCCUGAAAUUGUUUUUAACUGUUGUUUUGUAUAUGAGAUGAAGUACCUCUUGUGUUUUUAUUUUAUUUUAUUUUUUUCAGAAAAAAAUGUAUAAAAUUCCUUGCAAGAAAAAAAUGUAUAAAAUUCCUUGCAAGAAAAAAACCUAAUUAAUUUUGGUAACUGGAUUGAACAUGUAUAAAAUAAGCAAAAAAAAAAAAAAAAUUGGGAAAAUUUGUAGUAAGCUCCUGGAGAAUUUGUAACAUGAGAAAGCAUAUACCCAUAGAAAAUAAAGUUGAUUAGGACCCACACAAAAUAAAAACCACAGUUAGUGGACUUACUUUGGUGGUGAAUAUGUCCUCCUCCUGGAGCAUAAGGAAUGUCCUAUAAGAAAGAACCAAGAAAAAGAUAUGAAAUAAGGUGGUGAUUGUGAACUUGUGAGACUUACAAAUGAAUAAUUAGUGAAGUGCAGAGCAAAAAGUUGAAGAAUCAAGUUCAUUAUCUCCACCAUCUUGACACCUAAUCAUGCACAAUUAUUCCAAUAUAUCAGAAGAAGAAUAAGUCUUUUCUUAUCAACUUGGAAGGCUUUGCAACCAUUAAUUCCAACAAAAUCAAAGUAUGAAAGGCACCAGUUAUAGGUACAAAUAUUCGAAAGCACAAAAUAUGUACCUCCACCAAGCCAUCUUCCAAACCAGAUAACAUUAUAGGGUGGACAGAUAAAAGGUUUGAAAUUUUAGGGUGAGGAGUAUGCUUUUAUAUAUAUAAAAUAUAUAUAUAAAAUAUAUAUAUAUAUAUAUAUAUAUAUAUUUUGUAUAAGUUGAAAGGUCAACUGAAAGGUUGUAUCGAAAUGUCACGUCGAAAGGUUAAAUAUAAAAAAUAACUAAUUAAUGUAGUAAAGUCUAUAAAACAAGUUCAAAUAUACAAGUGUGUGUUUAAAAAAUAUUAGGUACAAAAAGAAAAACUCAAGCAAAUUCCAAGUCUAAUAAGAGAGCCUUAUAAAUAGAUGUUCAACCCAAGAGGUAAGUAGAGUUAAUUUAUCUUAUAAUUAUACAAAAUUGAUUCUGACUUUGACAUUGGAGCGCAUUGCAGGUGGUACACACGUCCAUAUGUGAGAGGAGAGCGAGAUCAAGAACUAAGAGACCUAGUUGAUUCAACUCAAUUAAGUUAGUUUACCUAUCAUCUAAGCUCAAUCUCAAGUCAAAGGAAGAGUAGACCGAAAGACCAACUCAAGAGAGGAGACCGAGAAGUCAGCACAUUUUCAAGAAAAGAUUUUUGUCUCUAGCCAAAAGGAAUUGAGAGAACUCCUAACGGCUGAAUAAUUCACUCUUUUGCUUUGGUUGGUCGGCAUAGACUCGUUCGGCUAACCCUUCCUUCCUCAAUUCUCGUUCCUCUCCUUCAAUCAAGGUCAUUUUCUUUUGUUCGCCCUCGGUCAGUAGGACAUCUGUAAAAGGUGCUCCGACAUUCAAGUGAGUAUUCAAUAUUGGUGCAAUAAGUGCUUAUUUAUAUCUUUUUAGUGGACUUUGUUUGACUGAGAUUAGUGCAUGAAUCGUGAUUAUGGGUGUAUUACCCAAUUCUCCGUACGACUUAGCCUUGUUAAUUAUCUCUUGAUCCUAAUGUAUUUUGAACAUAUUGGUCAGUUAGAACCGGGUACCAAGACUUGUGAGACUUGUUCGGUUCUUACCGGUACAUCAUUCAAUAAUCAAUUUUAGAGACAAAAAUUAAUUAAUACUUAAAAAAUUAUUGGUAUCUAAAUUAAUUUUAUUAUUGAUAAAUAAUUAACUACCAAGAUUCUAGCUACCAACUUUAGAAUUUAAAUAAUUGGUAACUUAUCAAUAAUAGAAACUACUUUAAAUACUAUUAAUUUUUUUAAUUUUUAAAAUAAUAUUUAAUUUAGUAAAUAUAUAAAUAAUUAUUUUUAUCUUUAAAAUUAAUUUUUAUUUAAUAAUUUUAUAUUAGUGAAUGGUCUAAAUUACUAAUUGGUAUAUAUCUUGUUAAUAUGUUAAAGCAGUUAUACUUAUAUUAUUUUAUUUUGCUUAAUGGGAGUGAAAAUGUUGAAUUCAAAGUGAUUGAAAACAAUAAUAUUGAAAUUGGCCGAUAAAAAUAAUAAUAUUGAAAUUGACUGAAUAAAAGAUAGUAUCAAUUCUAAAAAAAUUGAAACUAACUAUUUUGCUUUCAAUAAUUUUAUUUUUUCUUUUUUGUCAUAAAUCUACUGGAACAAAAUAGUGUUUACAAUCUUGUUAAAAAAAUUAAAAUAAAAGUCACCUUUUUUUCAAUUUUCGUAAAAUGCAUGGUAGUCAAAGACAAAGUCAUACUCAAAAAAAUUAUUGGAAUUAUUUUUUCUGUCAGAAGUUUUUACAUUGUAUUAAAUAAUGAUACUCUUUGCAAUCUUUGAAGGUAAAGAUAACUAUGGUUUGACGGUUCUUCUUCCAUAACUAAAGAAAGUGAAAGAUAAGCAAGAAGAGAAAGAAAUGAGUGUGGAGGAGAACUCUUCAUGAGAAGAGUUAUGAUACAUAAUAGAUUUCUGCAAUGCAUAGACAUGUAUGUCAUUCUCAUGUGAUUGUUCCAUCACACGUUGAUUGAAGAUAAAGAAAUAAGAAAGAGAGGAAGAAGCAAUCAAGAAAAAAAGAGAGAAAUAAAAUUACAUUUUGUUCAUUGAUUGAUAAACACCCAAGAGUUACACUAUAUAUAAGCGAAAAAUAAAGAGUAACAAAUGAGAAAAAAAUAGAGAGAACUAAAAACUAAGAUUAGUACUCAACAUAUCUUUAUAAGAAAAAAUAGCAAAUGUUCUUAGGAAACCGUCUAAUAGACACUCUUAGCAGAUUGUCUAAUAGACACUUUCGAUUGAAUCCUCUAAUAGGCGUUUUUGGCAAGACUUUAUGAUAGUCACUAUUGGUUAGACUAUAUAAUAGACACUUCUAACGAGAACGUCUGAUAUGCGUUCAUGGUUAGACAGUCUGUCAGAUACUCUUGACUAGAUCGUCUAUCAAAUGUUAUAGCUUGACUAGAUCGUCUAUCAAAUGUUAUAGCAAGACCUUUUGAUAAUUUUUUUUGUUUUUGUCACAAGUUUUUCAACACAUUGCAUCAAAUAAUAAACACCAAAGUUUUUUUACCAUGUUUUUUUCCAAGUAAAAUGUAAGACGAAACAAACUUAUCAUAAUACUUAGAAAAUAUAAAAGUGAUUUAAGAAGUUUUAAAAAAGACUUCAAAUAAUUAUUCGUUUAUUCUAGCCAAUGAACAUAAAAUAAAAUAUAAAGGGUAUGAACAAUAUUUGUUCCAACCAAGAGAGAUGAUGAUCCUUCUAAUUAAUAUUUUCUGUUUUUUGUUUUACUUUUUGGUCAUAUUUAUAAUAAUGUAUUUUGUUUGUAAUUAUUUUCUUAAGGUUAAGGUUCACAUCCCCAUUUCUAUCUCAUUUGGUUGAUUAUAUAUCUUUAAUUUAACAAUUAUUUGAAAGUUCACAUCCCUCAUUUCUAUCUUAUUUGAUUAUAUCUUUAAUUUAACAAUGAUUUGAUCCUUACUACUUAUAUUAAGAUUUACUAAAUUAUUUUUCAUAUUUGUUCCGGAUUAUGUAUUUAUUUCACCUUAAUUGUGAUUAAAUAUUUCUAUAUUUAUAUGAGAUCAAUAUUAUCUAUAUUAUUUGUUGAUAUUCUUGUCUUCAUAUUUUUAAUUAGUCUUGAAUGAUAAGUCUUAAACAAUAAGACUUGUUUGUAUUACUAUACAACUCCUCACAAGAAUAAGACUUCUUCAGGAUAGGUCAAAAUUCUACCACAUAACUUCUCAGUUUUGGGCAAUCAAACUUAUUCAAAAUAGGUCAGAAUACUAUUCAUUCACUACAAGAAAAUCAUGAAAUAGAAACCAAUUUUUAGAGACCAAAAUAAUUAGUUACNNNNNNNNNNNNNNNNNNNNNNNNNNNNNNNNNNNNNNNNNNNNNNNNNNNNNNNNNNNNNNNNNNNNNNNNNNNNNNNNNNNNNNNNNNNNNNNNNNNNGUUUUAACUACAUUAAUAGAACCUUGGUUGCUAAUUAAAUACCAAUUUAGAAACUAUUUAACAAUAAUAGAAACUAAUUUAGAAACCAAUAAUUUUUUUUGUUUAGUUUCUAAAAUGGUCUCUAAUUUAGUUACUAUUGCAACUAAUUAUUUUGGUCUCUAAAAAUUGGUUUCUAUUUCAUGAUUUUCUUAUAGUGAUAGGAUCAAAUAAUGUAGAGUUGUAUGUCUUUCCCACUAUAAUUUACAACUUAGAAAAAAAAAUUUAUUUUACCACAAUAAAAAUUCGUCGAUAAUUAAUAAUAUUUUUAAUUAUUAUUAUUAAAAAUAUUAUUUAUUACUAUUAGAGUUAAAAUCACCAUUUUGUUGAAGGUAAAACUUAUAACACAAUUGCUUGUAACCACAAGAACAAAUAUAUUUAGUGAUCAUGAUAAUAACUAUUAUUAUUACUAUUACUAUUUUUAUUUUUAUUAUUAUUAUAUUAUUAAUAUUAUUAAUUUUAAUAUUUUUAUUAUUAUAUUUAUUAAUAUUAUUAAUUUCGUUGCAAUUAUGAUGAUUUUAAAUGAAGCGGAUAAAAUAAAUUAUUAAAUUGAAAUAAGAUUUAAUUUGAGUAAUUAUUUUUAAAUGGUCAAAUUUGUAUAUAUAGUUUUGAAUAUUAACAAUGAUGAACUUAAGACUAUCUACUUAAAGUAAAAAUUUGAAUUUACUAAUUUUGUUAACGUUAUUAGUUAAUUAUUUUUUUCACUACGAAAUAUUUAGGAAACUAAUAAAAUUUAAAUUACUAAAGACUUGUAAUAAAACUAAAAAAACUCCAAAAUAAUAAAGCACAUAAUUUAAUUAAAUGACACUAAUUUAAAUAGUUAUUAUAUUAGUAUUAAUAAAAUUAAAAAUCAUUGGAUAUAAAAACUAGAAUGACUGAAUUAAGUUUUACCUACAUAAAGCAUAUGGUUUGAGUUUAUAAUAGAACACAUGAAUGUAGAAAAUGAGAAGAUAAUACAUGAUAUUGUUAGUAUUAUUUUAGUAUUCAUUAUUAACUAUAAUUAAUUUAAUAUAAAAAUAUAAAUGUUAAUUUAAAAAUAGAUGUUUUUUUAUAAAUAAAAUUAUCCCAUAUAGUUUGUUUUUAAUUUUAAAAAUGUCACGAAUCUUGUAUGGGUCCAUGUCGACGUAUCUAUACGUAUAAAUAGAAAUGUCAAUGUCUUUAAUUGUGAAUUUAAUAAAAAAUUGUGUUGAUAAGAGAAAUGAGGGGAUUUCAAUGACUUUACAACUCGGGUAAAUUUCCUAUCUAGCACCAUUUACACUUUUAUUUCCCUAACUAGCAUCCUUUUGAUUUUAUUUCCCUAUCUAGUACCCUUUUGUUUUUAUUUCCCUAUCUAGCACCCUUUUAUUUUUUAUUUCCCUAUCUAGCACCAUUUCAAAAAUAAAUAAAUAAAUAAAUUAUUAUUAUUAUUUUGAUAAUUUUAAUUUUAAAUGCAUUAAAAAAUAAGUAUUUUUAAUGUUUAAAAUAGUUAGAAAUAUAAUUAAUAAAUAAAGAAAUGAUUUUUUACAAAAUAAAAAAAAGUAAUAAAUUAAAAAUAUUUAGUUUAAAAUUAUUUUUUUAAGAAUGAAGAAAAUAAGAAAUGAAACCCUACAAUAACAUAAAAGUUGAAUCUAUAAACAUAAAUUAGUAUUUAUUUUUAUUAUUAUUGAUGAAGUAAUCAUGUUAAUUUAAAGUAAAAAAAUACAGGACAUAAUUAUAAAAAAAACAAAGUCAAUUAGUAUUAAUUAAUAGUGGACACACAAAUAAUAUUGAAGUGUCUACCCUAAAUGCAAAACCCUAAAAAAAAACUAAUGCAAAUGAUACACUUAAUGCUUAAAAAUGAGAAGAAAAAAAUGCAAAAAUAAAUAAGUAUAGAAAAUAAAAACAACAAUAAUAAAAUAAAAACAAAAAACAAAAAUAAAUAAACAAUGGCAGAAAAAAAUAAUAACUAAAAACAUAUAAGAUAUAAAAUAAAGACAAAACAAAAUAAGAUAAAUAUAUAAGAUAUAAAAAAAAAUUCAAACAAGAUAAAGAUAAGAGAUAUAAGACGAUACUAAAUAAGUAGAUAUUGAUCAUAAAAAGAAAAAUAAAUGAAAGAUGAUCAUUCAUUUAAUAUUUUCUUAAAUGGUAAUAAUUAAUGACGAGAAGUGCACAAUUCAAUAAUAUUGAGACAUGUUCUUUUUGUGUGUCGUGAUGUUUGACAAUAUGAAUAUUUUUUUGUUCAAUUAUGUUGUUCUCUUAUGUCCAUAACAGUUUUUAUUCGACUUGACUUAGGUCUCCCCUUUGAGGUUAUUUUCAUGUCAGGACUUGGACAUAGUAUUUGACCAGUGUAUGCAGACCAAUACUCCUCAUUUCUGAGUUCCAUCAAAUAGUGUUUCAUAACAUGAAAGAUCUGUUGCAAUGUUGUUGUUUUUAUUUUCUAUAUAUAUUUAUUUUUACAUUUUUCUUUUUUCUCAUUUUUAAGCAUUAAGUGUAGCAAUUGCAUUAGUUUUUUUUUAGGAUUUUGCAUUUAGGGUAGAUAGACACUUCAAUAUUAUUUCUGCGUUCAAUAUUAAUUAAUACUAAUUGACUUUGAUUUUUUUUAUAAUUAUGUCUUGCAUUUUUUUUAUUUGAAAUUAACAUGAUUACAUUAUCAAUGAUAACAAAAAUAAAUACUAAUUUAUGUUUAUAAAUUCAACUUUUAUGAUGUUGUAGAGUUUAAUUUUUUAUUUUCUUCAUUCUUACAAAAAAAAUUAAACUAAACAUUUUUUAAUUUAUUACUUUUUUAUUUUUAUUUUGUAAAAACUCAUUUCUUUAUUCAUUAAUUAUAUUUCUAACAUUUUAAACAUUAAAAAUACUUGUUUUUUAAUAUAUUCAAAAUUAAAAUUAUAAAAAAAAAUUAUUUUUUUAUUUAUUUUUAAAAUGGUGCUAGAUAGGGAAAUAAAAAAUAAAAGAGUGCUAGAUAGGGAAAUAAAAAGAAAAGGGUGCUAGAUAGGAAAAUAAAAGCAAAAGAGUGUUAGAUAGAGAAAUAAAAGUAUAAAUGGUGCUAGAUAGGGAAUAAUAAAAGAGAAAUGAGGGGAUUUCAAUGAUUUUACAACUGAGGUUGAACUUUUUGACCUACCUUUAGUGGAAAAGUAUACUCAUGUUUCAUCUUACAAUAAAUAUUAAUAUUUAUAAUAAAAAAAUUAAAAAUUUAUUUAAUAAAAAUAUAAACAAAAUGUACAAUUAAAAAAAUUAUAAAUUUUAUAAAUAAUUAAAAUAUUAAUAUUUAUUGAGAGUGUAGGAUGUAACUGAUGAGUGUCAAAUAAACAUUUUUCUUGACAGAAUUAUGGUGACUCUGAAUUGGAUGACAUUUGUGUUUUAACUUUUACAUAUUGCUUGAAACUUCGAUUUAUUUGUUAUUUUUAUUUAUAAAAAAACAUAAACAUAAAAUAUACAAAUAUAAAAGUUAUUAUUUACAAUAUUUUAAAUUUAGAAAAAAAAUAUGCAUAUAUAUAUGAUUAUCUUAUUUGUAAAAAAAUCUAUUUUUUCAAUUAUUUUUUUAAAUUUUAUGUAUUAAAAUAAUUAAAGUGAAUAACACAAUCACAUGUCUAACAAUAAAUUACCGUGCAAGCAAAUUUUUUGUAUCCAAUUUUUUUUUAUUUCAAUUCUAAAUAUGUUAAAUUGGACCAUUGAAAGUUUCAUUGUCAAAUAACAUUAAUAUAUAAUAGUAUCUUAGUAAUUUUUUUCAUUUUUUUUUUAUCUUUUUUCUCAAUUAAGAUAUAUUUCAUAGCUUAUAUAAAAAUAUGAUAAUUUUGUAAUAUUGAAUUACUAAUGCCAUUUUCUAAUAUUUAUUUUCUUUUUUUUAUCAAUAACAAUAAAUUAAUUAAUUAAAAUUGAAUCGAAGUAUUCCAAUCCUUUUACAUUAUUCCCUAACACUACAUUUGUAUUUUUAUCUUUCUUAUUCAUCCCUUAAUAGAUUAGUGAAAAAAAAUCUCAAAACUUCAUUUACAACUAUAAUACUGGAUUGUCCUAAAAAAAUCAAAAUUAUUAUAAUAUAGACACAAUUUAAAAAAAUACCAUGACACGUAAAUUAAAAUGCAAAUUUAUUUAAUUUACACCAUGAUAACAUAACAUACAUGAAAUUUUUUCAUCAACAACAAAUAUGUAUUAAAUAAGAAGUGCUCUAACCCACAUGCAAACAUAAAUAAAAAGUAAAAGAACGCAUAAACAGAAUGUUGAAACUUGACAGAAAACCAUCCAACCUACAAAAGUCACCCUCCAAAAACAACACGGUUGGAGGUCAUCAUUUACGUUUGCCAAUACAUUUAGUGACAAUCCAAACAAAUAGACGCAGACAAAGGAAAAGUAUGAUGAGUCCUAGGAGUGCAAGCCAAGUGUAAAUGACUUUAUUAUACAUGGUUUGGGUUCUAUACCAAACGGGAUAAGGUGUGACCAUAUCUGCACCAAUCAUGUAGGUCAAAGUGAGAGUGGUCAUGGUGAUGCACAUGCCUAUUGACAAAAGCCAUGUGAAAAAUCUGUUAUUCAGAGAGAAACCACUCACAAGCAAGAGACACACAGCUAAAGAUGAAACGAAACAUAUAGUGUUGAAUAGAAGAAAUCUGACAUAAGCUUCUUGGUAAACUAUAGCUAGGACAGAUUCACCAGGGCAUGGAUUAUUUUCUAAAUUUUCUGGACAUUUCAAUUUUUCAUUCUCUGUGGCUGGCCUAACACCACCUGGUGGAUUAAUAGCAGUUUGAAAGGUGAUGGUUGUGAUUAUGGUAGCAGCCAAACUCAGAUUCCCUCUCAUGUCCUUCAGCCAUUCCUCCUUGUUCUUGAUUGCCAGCCAAUUCGCCAUUUUUUCUAUACUUUUUUCCACCACUUCUUCUCUUCUGUCAAGUUUUGGUCCAUGGUAAUGAACUUCAUGGAAAUUAAGAAGUACUUGCAUAUGUUAGAUCAGUUUUAUGCACUUAGUGUAAUGAAUUGCAUGAUAUCUCAUAAUCAUUUCUGUUAAUUGCUUUUUACAUGGCAUGGAUUAAAAAGAACUAAAAGCAUUAUUGUGUGUAGUUAUUUUGAAACUAAAGGGUUAAAAGUGUUUUUAUUUAAAUCAUUGUAUAAUUAACUAACUGAUUAAAAUUAUCAGAAAAGAAAAAAAAAGACAUGUGAUUAUAUCAAUAUUACUUUUAAGUUAUUUUUUUAAAGCCUCUUGUAAGUUUGGGAUCUGUACUAAGAAUUAGUCCAAUAAUUCAACAGGAUUUAAAUACGGUAGGAUCAGAUAGUAAUAGCAUGAAUAGUUCUUUAAAUUUGAUUCUCAGUAUUAUUAAUGCACAACACUCAAAUAUCAACUGGGUUAACAAAAUGCUGUCUGAUAUUUGAAUAUGAUUCAAAUAAAAAUGAAUAAUAUUGAAUUUCUGAAAACAAUUAAAAUGAAAAAUUCUGCUGCAUUGGGCUCUAUAUCAAUCACAAGAGUCUCUUUCUGUUACUUGUUUGUCUGCUUGAAAUCUCUCAAGACAGGGUGAGAACAUUUUAAAAUACUUCAAAAAUUCAUUUGUUGUUUAAUAUUAUUUUUUUUAUACUUGAUAAAAGUAAGAUCCCAAUAUCAAUUGUGUUUAUAAGAAAGAAUGAUUCCUUCUCCUCCUCUUGCUUUAGUUUUUCAUGUUAUAUAUUUACAAGUGUUUGAAAACCUCUUAUGAUAAUUUUAGAAGUUAUUAUACUAUAAGAAAAUUAUUAAAAAUUAAUUUUAAAUAAAAAAAUAAUUAAUUGCUAUAGUAACUAAAUUAGAUACCAUUUUAGAAACUAAAAAAAAUUAUUGAUUUCUAAAUUGAUUUUUAUCAUUGAUAAAUAGUUUUUAAACUGAUAUCUAAUGAGUUAUUUAGAUUUUAAAUUUGAUAGAAAAAAUCUUGGUAACUAAUUAAAUAUCAAUUUAAAAACUAUUUAUCAAUAAUAAAAACUAAUUUAGAAAUUAAUAAUUUUUUUAAUUUUUAAAAUUAUUUUUACUUUAAUAACUGUAACAACUAAUUAUUUUUUAUUUCUAAAAUUAGUUUAUAUUUAAUAAAUUUUUUUAGUAAUAUCGCUAAAAAGAAUAUUGAUAAGAAGUAAAUGCAGAGAGAAAGACAUA
rnacentral:lncRNA from 1 species